rnacentral:rRNA from 1 species
AAGGGCAUUUGGUGGAUGCCU